rnacentral:ncRNA from 2 species
AACAGAGUAGGAAAUGAAGCGUUAAGUGCUGUAGGGAUGGGAUGUUGCCCUCAGACGAAGAAUUACUUAGGUAAUUUGCGGUUUUGUUUCUGCAUUCGCUGCA